rnacentral:rRNA from 1 species
CCUACGGGCGGCAGCAGUGGGGAAUAUUGGGCAAUGGGCGCAAGCCUGACCCAGCAACGCCGCGUGAAGGAAGAAGGCUUUCGGGUUGUAAACUUCUUUUCUCAGGGACGAAACACGUGACGGUACCUGAGGACUAAGCCACCGCUACCUACGUGCCAGCAGCCGCGGUACUACGUAGGUGGCAAGCGUUAUCCGGAUUUACUGGGUGUAAAGGGCGUGUAGGCGGGAAAGCAAGUCAGAUGUGAAAGCCAUGGGCUCAACCUGUGACCUGCAUUUGAAACUGUUUGGCUUGAGUACGGGAGAGGCAGAUGGAAUUCCUAGUGUAGCGGUGAAAUGCGUAGAUAUGAGGAGGAACACCAGUGGCGAAGGCGGUCUGCUGGACAGCAACUGACGCUGAGGCGCGAAAGCGUGGGGAGCAAACAGGAUUAGAUACCCCAGUAGUC